GUGCAGCAGGCGAGAAUUUUUCUCAAUGGGGGAAACCCUGAAGGAGCGACGCCGCGUGGAGGAUGAAGGUCUUCGGGUUGUAAACUCCUGUCAUUUGGGAACAAGCGUCGGUACGUAACUACUACCGGCUUGAUAGUACCAGAAGAGGAAGAGACGGCUAACUCUGUGCCAGCAGCCGCGGUAAUACAGAGGUCUCAAGCGUUGUUCGGAUUCAUUGGGCGUAAAGGGUGCGUAGGUGGCGCCGUAAGUGGGGUGUGAAAUUUCGGAGCUUAACUCCGAAACUGCAUUCCAUACUGCGGUGCUUGAGGACUGGAGAGGAGACUGGAAUUCAUGGUGUAGCAGUGAAAUGCGUAGAGAUCAUGAGGAAGACCAGUGCGAAGGCGGGUCUCUGGACAGUUCCUGACACUGAUGCACGAAGGCCA
rnacentral:rRNA from 1 species